AAAGAUUUAUAAAUACAAUAAUAACAACCGGGACCGAAAGCUUAACGAGCUCUCUGGGGCACGGUGGGAGACCCACAAGGAUUGCACAAACACUCAGACCAUUGCAAACAACUACACUGCCAAUACAAUUUUUUGUCAUAUGCGGGUAUCGAACCCGCAACCGUCAGCGCAACUUCAACUAACUAGUGAUGUGACCGUUGCGCCAACGUGGCAUAUAUGUAUUGUAAUUAAUUAUGUACACAGUUAGGUACUUUUAAAAUAAUAAAAAUCACAGACAUUCUCUGAGUAAAUAACAGCAUGAUAUACUUAUAAUAUUACUUACUUAGACAGGAAAUGAACCAUGACUAAAGAAAAUCUCAUUAUGUCACAUGCUAAAAUAAAUUUGAAGUAAGGCGUCUUUCUGAUUACACCAGACAAUCAUCAAAUACUCAAUCUGCAAACCAUAACCGACUCUAAUAUAUUUAUUUACAUAGACGUUAAAUUAUUCUCAUUGCGUAAGCGUUAUAUUUAGUAAACAAUUUUACCUGUCCUAUAUACUCCUAUUAUGAAAUCCUCUAAUGAACUUUAUAAGAAUUCAUGAUAUUGCUAGAAAAAAUUGAAAGAGAAGACAUUAAUGCUUUCGAUGUGAAAUAAAGAAUGUAAAUUAAUACAUUUAAAUAUAAUUGAUAAGAUAUGUACUCAGUUAUUAGGUAGUCAAUGUAGCCGAAAUUUCCGAAACAUACCUACUAACUACCAGCUAGUUGUAAUAUCUAAGCUCUUAUUACUCUUAAUGUAUAAUUGUUUGUUUUUAACCGACUUCAAGGAAGGGGGACGUUACUCA
rnacentral:misc_RNA from 1 species